rnacentral:rRNA from 1 species
UACGGGGGGGGCAAGCGUUGUUCGGAGUUACUGGGCGUAAAGCGCUUGUAGGCGGUCCACCAAGUUUGGGGUGACAGUUGCCGACUUAAUCGGCAAAGUGCCUCAAAGACUGGCGGACUUGAGGGCCACAGAGGGACAUGGAACUCCAGGUGUAGUGGUGAAAUGCGUAGAUAUCUGGAAGAACACCAAAGGCGAAGGCAGUGUCCUGGGUGGUCGCUGACGCUGAGAGGCGAAAGCCAGGGGAGCGAACGGG